rnacentral:rRNA from 1 species
AUUGAACGCUGGCGGCAUGCCUUACACAUGCAAGUCGAACGGCAGCAUAGGAGCUUGCUCCUGAUGGCGAGUGGCGAACGGGUGAGUAAUAUAUCGGAACGUGCCCUAGAGUGGGGGAUAACUAGUCGAAAGACUAGCUAAUACCGCAUACGAUCUACGGAUGAAAGGGGGGGAUCGCAAGACCUCAUGCUCCUGGAGCGGCCGAUAUCUGAUCAGCUAGUUGGUGGGGUAAAAGCUCACCAAGGCGACGAUCAGUAGCUGGUCUGAGAGGACGACCAGCCACACUGGGACUGAGACACGGCCCAGACUCCUACGGGAGGCAGCAGUGGGGAAUUUUGGACAAUGGGGGCAACCCUGAUCCAGCAAUGCCGCGUGAGUGAAGAAGGCCUUCGGGUUGUAAAGCUCUUUUGUCAGGGAAGAAACGGUUCUGGAUAAUACCUGGGACUAAUGACGGUACCUGAAGAAUAAGCACCGGCUAACUACGUGCCAGCAGCCGCAGUAA